rnacentral:rRNA from 1 species
CGAUUUAGCCAUGCUAGUUGCGCGAGUUCAGACUCGCAGCAGAUAGCUCAGUAACACGUGGUCAAGCCACCCUGCAGACACGGACAACCUCGGGAGACUGAGGCUAAUCCGCGAUACCGAUCCCACGCUGGAAUGCCGGGAUCCACAAACGCUCCGGCGCUGCAGGAUGCGGCUGCGGCCGAUUAGGUAGACGGUGGGGUAACGGCCCACCGUGCCGAUAAUCGGUACGGGUUGUGAGAGCAAGAGCCCGGAGACGGAAUCUGAGACAAGAUUCCGGGCCCUACGGGGCGCAGCAGGCGCGAAACCUUUACACUGCACGCAAGUGCGAUAAGGGGACUCCGAGUGCGAGGGCAUAUAGUCCUCGCUUUUGAGAACCGUAAGGUGGUUCUCGAAUAAGAGCUGGACAAGACCGGUGCCAGCCGCCGCGGUAAUACCGGCAGCUCAAGUGAUGGCCAAUCUUAUUGGGCCUAAAGCGUCCGUAGCUGGCCGUGAAAGUUCGUCGGGAAAUCCAUCCGCUCAACGGAUGGGCGUCCGGCGAAAACUUCACGGCUUGGGACCGGAAGGCUCGAGGGGUACGUCCGGGGUAGGAGUGAAAUCCUGUAAUCCUGGACGGACCGCCGAUGGCGAAAGCACCUCGAGAAGACGGAUCCGACAGUGAGGGACGAAAGCUAGGGUCUCGAACCGGAUUAGAUACCCGGGUAGUCCUAGCCGUAAACGAUGUUCACUAGGUGUGGCACGGGCUACGAGCCUGUGCUGUGCCGUAGGGAAGCCGAGAAGUGAACCGCCUGGGAAGUACGUCCGCAAGGAUGAAACUUAAAGGAAUUGGCGGGGGAGCACUACAACCGGAGGAGCCUGCGGUUUAAUUGGACUCAACGCCGGACAUCUCACCAGCUCCGACCACAGUAAUGACGGUCAGGUUGAUGACCUUACCACGAGCUGUAGAGAGGAGGUGCAUGGCCGCCGUCAGCUCGUACCGUGAGGCGUCCUGUUAAGUCAGGC